rnacentral:tRNA from 1 species
GCUUAAUGUAGCUUAUAAUAAAGCUAUAAAGCACUGAAAAUGCUUAGAUGGAUUCAAAAAUCCCAUAAACA